rnacentral:miRNA from 1 species
AAGGAACAACUGCUUGAAGC